GACGAACGCUGGCGGCGUGCUUAACACAUGCAAGUCGAACGAUGAACCCGGAGCUUGCUCUGGGGGAUUAGUGGCGAACGGGUGAGUAACACGUGAGUAACCUGCCCUGGACUCUGGGAUAAGCGUUGGAAACGACGUCUAAUACCGGAUAGGACCUUGGAUCGCAUGAUCUGGGGUGGAAAGUUUUUUCGGUCUGGGAUGGACUCGCGGCCUAUCAGCUUGUUGGUGAGGUAAUGGCUCACCAAGGCGUCGACGGGUAGCCGGCCUGAGAGGGUGGCCGGCCACACUGGGACUGAGACACGGCCCAGACUCCUACGGGAGGCAGCAGUGGGGAAUAUUGCACAAUGGGCGAAAGCCUGAUGCAGCAACGCCGCGUGCGGGAUGACGGCCUUCGGGUUGUAAACCGCUUUUAGUAGGGAAGAAGGGCUUCGGCUUGACGGUACCUGCAGAAAAAGGACCGGCUAACUACGUG
rnacentral:rRNA from 1 species